rnacentral:rRNA from 1 species
CCCUUAGAUGUUCUGGGCCGCACGCGUGCUACACUGAGUGGAUCAGCGGGUCAGGUUGCGCGAAAGUGUUUCCUAAUCUUUAUAUCCGCUCGUGAUGGGGAUUGACGGUUGCAAUUUUCCGUCAUGAACGAGGAAUACCUUGUAAGCGCGGGUCAUCAUCCCGCGCUGAAUACGUCCCUGCCCUUUGUACACACCGCCCGUCGCUCCUACCGAUUGAGUGGUCCGGUGAGGCUUUGGGAUCUGAGCGGAAAGAGCGUUUCGCUGUUUCUGCCCGGAAAACUCAGUCGAACCUUAUCAUUUAGAGGAAGGAGAAGUCGUAACA